UACGUAGGGGGCAAGCGUUGUCCGGAAUUAUUGGGCGUAAAGCGCGCGCAGGCGGCCGUUUAAGUCUCAUGUUUAAGCCCGGGGCUCAACCCCGCGGACGCAUGGGAAACUGGGCGGCUUGAGUGUAGGAGAGGAAAGCGGAAUUCCACGUGUAGCGGUGAAAUGCGUAGAGAUGUGGAGGAACACCAGUGGCGAAGGCGGCUUUCUGGCCUAUAACUGACGCUGAGGCGCGAAAGCGUGGGGAGCAAACAGG
rnacentral:rRNA from 1 species